rnacentral:rRNA from 1 species
GACGAACGCUGGCGGCGUGCCUAAUACAUGCAAGUUGAGCGCUGAAGGUUGGUACUUGUACCAACUGGAUGAGCAGCGAACGGGUGAGUAACGCGUGGGGAAUCUGCCUUUGAGCGGGGGACAACAUUUGGAAACGAAUGCUAAUACCGCAUAAAAACUUUAAACACAAGUUUUAAGUUUGAAAUAUGCAAUUGCAUCACUCAAAGAUGAUCCCGCGUUGUAUUAGCUAGUUGGUGAGGUAAAGGCUCACCAAGGCGAUGAUACAUAGCCGACCUGAGAGGGUGAUCGGCCACAUUGGGACUGAGACACGGCCCAAACUCCUACGGGAGGCAGCAGUAGGGAAUCUUCGGCAAUGGACGAAAGUCUGACCGAGCAACGCCGCGUGAGUGAAGAAGGUUUUCGGAUCGUAAAACUCUGUUGGUAGAGAAGAACGUUGGUGAGAGUGGAAAGCUCAUCAAGUGACGGUAACUACCCAGAAAGGGACGGCUAACUACGUG